UUCAUCGUCAAGUUUAUGCUAUAUGUGUAUGAACUGCAACCCUCUACAUGAGGAUGGGACUUUCUUCAGUUCUGUCGUAGAAGCAUGAAGAGGGGAGCUACAGAUGUUUUCAAUCUCUACUUAAUUAAGCAUUGCCAGCUGCUUGAGGGUGGCAUUUGGCAAGUGCAGAGCUCCUGUACCACACUUUGCUGCUCUCUACAACUUACAGAGAUGCUUUAACAAAAUCUACAUGAUUUCAGCAAGUUAUUACUUCAACAAGCAUCAUUUUGUAUCAUAGGAUUUUUCAAGACCUUUGUUUAAAUAAAGUUAUCUGUUUUACUUAUGUGGAAAUGAGGGAUUAGGAAGACCUGUGCUAAAUUACACAGCGAGGCAGUCAAAAGUACUAUGAGAAUAACUUUUAACAUAGGCUUUCAAAAGAAAUCAUUUGUUUUUCUGAAAUUAAAAGCUUC
rnacentral:lncRNA from 1 species